UACAGAGGGUGCGAGCGUUAAUCGGAAUUACUGGGCGUAAAGGGUGCGUAGGUAGUUGUGUAAGUUGUGUGUGAAAGCCCUGGGCUUAACCUGGGAACGGCAUAUGAUACUGUACAACUAGAGUCAAGUAGAGGGUAGUGGAAUUUCCGGUGUAGCGGUGAAAUGCGUAGAUAUCGGAAGGAACACCGGUGGCGAAGGCGGCUACCUGGACUUAGACUGACACUGAGGCACGAAAGCGUGGGUAGCAAACAGG
rnacentral:rRNA from 1 species